ACGAUAUUUUUCAUAACAAUUUUAACCAUUUUGAAAGUUUGAUAGCCAAAUCCAAAAAAAUGGUUAAAAUUUCUAAAUGUUUGAAUGAGCUUGUAUUUUACCGCCAUUUUGAAGAUUGUGAUUUGAGAAGCGCUCUCGUUUUCACCAUUUUUGCACGUUAAAAUUCGAUUUGUUUGGCCUCGAGAUUAGAAUUAAAGUGAAAAAGAUAAAGCGGCCAAUCGGGAAACCCGUCUGCUGUUGAAAGCUGGUAUCUAUUACGAUUGGCAGGCUACAAUCAAUACAGGAGAUGAAACCCCGAUCGACGCGUCUGUACCAGGGAUUAAGUCCACUGAUUGGGGCUACAAGCAAACAUCAAUGGUCAUAUUAUUGUCCGCGGUUUUUUUUACCACCAGACGAAGAGUGUUGUCAAUAAGCUGUCGAAAAUCCUGAGCCGGACUGUCCGAACUUUUCAUAACUUCCGUAGUGGCCAACUGUUUCCCCAUUGUUUGGAUGAACGAUUUUUUGAAGAACGCCAAAGGAAGCGAUAUGGCCCCCUUCCUAAUGAAAAUUAAGUAGUUCCGGUGGUCCGAGGAAGUUUUAUCCGACUCUUAAUGGAACUAUAACAAGGUGGAUUUUUCUGAAAGGAUUUAAGGAUCACAAUGCAGGGUAAUUGAAUUUGCAAUUUUUCUUAUAUUUCGGGCUUAAUUUGCAGCAAAUGAAGGCACCAGCAGCAGCACCAGACUGAGGCUAAACAGGUCGACAAGCUAAUUAUGCUAAUGUGACAUCAGAAUGAUCUCUGUCCAUCAGAAUUCGAUUCAGGAUUCCAACCCAGAAAACUUUUUUUCUGGGAAAGAAGUUGUUGUCUUGAGGAUCAGUUCAUCUGCGUGAUGGACAUAUCCCAAUUCAACCAAAUUAUGAAUAUCCAUCCAGAUAGUAAUGACAUCAGAUUUAGGUCAUUGGCUAAACCAUUAAUUUUUGCAAACUUUCGAGGAUGGCUCAGGUGCAGUUCGGAACAGUUGUUUAAAAUUUUAAAAGGCUAUGGAACGGAAAAUGCAAGAAUGCUAGGUACUCGUAAUUUAACCGAUUGCGAAGGGCACGGGGAAAACAUUAAGCUUGAAACAAUUAAGGUGUAUUGAGCAAUUGAGCCUUAAAUUCGGGUAUAUCAAGCUAAGUUUCUAAAAGUACUUCUCAUCCUUCUGUGAAAAGAGCAUUGCAAAAUUAGACCGAUCCAGACGAAAGACAAAAUGAUUCCUGGUAUCAAUCAAGGCAAACAUAAUUAUUGCUAGUAUUUAAAUAAAUAAAUUAAAUAAA